AGUGAACGCUGGCGGUAGGCCUAACACAUGCAAGUCGAACGGCAGCACAGGAGAGCUUGCUCUCUAGGUGGCGAGUGGCGGACGGGUGAGGAAUACAUCGGAAUCUGCCCAGUCGUGGGGGAUAACGUAGGGAAACUUACGCUAAUACCUCAUACGACCUUCGGGUGAAAGAGGGGGAUCGCAAGACCUCUCGCGAUUGGAUGAGCCGAUGUCGGAUUAGCUAGUUAGCGGGGUAAUGGCCCACCAAGGCGACGAUCCGUAGCUGGUCUGAGAGGAUGAUCAGCCACACUGGAACUGAGACACGGUCCAGACUCCUACGGGAGGCAGCAGUGUGGAAUAUUGGACAAUGGGCGCAAGCCUGAUCCAGCCAUACCGCGUGGGUGAAGAAGGCCUUCGGGUUGUAAAGCCCUUUUGUUGGGAAAGAAAUCUUUCAGGCUAAUACCCUGGGAGGAUGACGGUACCGAAAGAAUAAGCGCCGGCUAACUUCGUG
rnacentral:rRNA from 1 species